rnacentral:rRNA from 1 species
ACUCCUCGGGGGCAGCAGUGAGGAAUAUUGGACAAUGGGCGAGGGCCUGAUCCAGCCAUGCCGCGUGCAGGAAGAAUGCCCUAUGGGUAGUAAACUGCUUUUAUACGGGAAGAAAAAGGGGCACGUGUGCCCUGUUGACGGUACCGUAAGAAUAAGGACCGGCUAACUCCGUGCCAGCAGCCGCGGUAAUACGGAGGGUCCGAGCGUUAUCCGGAAUUAUUGGGUUUAAAGGGUCCGUAGGCGGGCCGGUAAGUCAGGGGUGAAAGUCUGUAGCUCAACUAUAGAACUGCCUUUGAUACUGCCGGGUCUUGAGUCACGGUGAAGUUGCCGGAAUAUGUGGUGUAGCGGUGAAAUGCAUAGAUAUCACAUAGAACACCGAUUGCGAAGGCAGGUGACUAACCGUGUACUGACGCUGAUGGACGAAAGCGUGGGGAGCGAACAGGAUUAGAUACCCUGGUAGGCGUAGU